ensembl:lncRNA
GGAAGAACUAUGGUGUAGACGGAGGACAGCUAGCUUCCGUCCUCCUCUGGGUAUAUUGAAUUCAAUAGGUACAUUGAAUUCAUGGUUCUCACCCCCUUCCAUAGACUUACACUGUAAUUAUGAUGACUUCCAGAGGACAUCCUCCAAACUAUCAGAGUUCUUCCAGCAUGAACUGACAUGUUGUCCACCCAAUCAAAGGACCAGGACCUGAGCCCUAGGACCAUGCCCCAGGACUACCUGACAUGAUGACUCCUUGCUGUCCCCAGUCCACCUGGCCAUGCUGCUGCUCCAGUUUCAACUUCCACCUGACUGUGCUGCUGCUCCAGUUUCAACUGUUCUGCAUUAUUAUUAUUCGACCAUGCUGGUCAUUUAUGAACAUUUGAACAUCUUGGCCAUGUUCUGUUAUAAUCUCCACCCGGC